rnacentral:misc_RNA from 1 species
GCCAGUGUUUUCUCAUAAAGUGUCCUGUUAACAAGUAGUUGAUAUCGAUCCCACGUCUGUUUGUAACCCAAAGCCACACGGGUCACAUAAAUUAUCAGUGCAGUGAUGGCAACGACAUCAAGAAAUAUUGCUGAUGGGGAAGAUAAGAUGUCUUCAAAUUUGUAAUUGAUGAAGUAUGCCGAAAGUCCCAAUAUUGUGGCCACAUCCAGGCGUAC